UGGCCCUACGGGGGGCAGCAGUGAGGAAUAUUGGUCAAUGGGCGGGAGCCUGAACCAGCCAAGUCGCGUGAGGGAAGACGGUCCUAUGGAUUGUAAACCUCUUUUGUCGGGGAGCAAAGAGAUCACGUGUGGUCAAAAGCGAGAGUACCCGAAGAAAAAGCAUCGGCUAACUCCGUGCCAGCAGCCGCGGUAAUACGGAGGAUGCGAGCGUUAUCCGGAUUUAUUGGGUUUAAAGGGUGCGCAGGCGGCACGGCAAGCCGGCGGUCAAAUCGCGGGGCUCAACCCCGCCCAGCCGUCGGAACUGC
rnacentral:rRNA from 1 species